UACCAGCACCCCGAGUGGUCGGGACGUUUUAUUGGGCCUAAAGCAUCCGUAGCCGGUUCUGCAAGUCUUCCGUUAAAUCCACCUGCUUAACAGAUGGGCCGCGGAAGAUACUAUAGAGCUAGGAGGCGGGAGAGGCAAGCGGUACUCGAUGGGUAGGGGUAAAAUCCGUUGAUCCAUUGAAGACCACCAGUGGCGAAGGCGGCUUGCCAGAACGCGCUCGACGGUGAGGGAUGAAAGCUGGGGGAGCAAACAGG
rnacentral:rRNA from 1 species